rnacentral:tRNA from 1 species
CAUUAAGUAUCUUAUUUAAAAGUAAUGAUUUUUUAAAUCAUUUAUAGUAACAUUUUUACUCUUAAUGA